CACAUCCUUGUUUCUUUAAGGUCAUCACAUUACAGCAACUAAUGAGUCACUCCAGCACCAUGUUUCAACAAUGUUGGCAUCCAUGGCACAUUCUCAGCCUUCUCCAGCACGUUCUGGUGACAUCACUUAUGCAGAACAAUGCUGCCUUGUCUACAUUUAUGUAGCUGCAGGCGCUUGCACCAUGGACAUGGAUGGAUCUAUAG